CCUAUCUCCAGAAGGCCCAGCGGCCUGACUCAAGCGUCUUCUCUGAAAGCUGCCGUACUCUUGAGGACCAGAAAGACUACUGGGGCCAGCUGUGUACUUGUUGGAAGAGAAACAAAGUAUCACCACACAUUGCCUUCCACGGAUGUGGUCUGACAGGUGGGAGCAGGCAGUCCCUGUCCAAAUCCUUGAACCUGCUACUUCCUAUGACUGAAGAUUCGGCCAAGCCACUUAGCCUCACUCCAGCUGUGUGCGACGGAGCGGAGAAAAUAUUGUCCAGCUGCCACAGUUAUUAAAUAGUAACAGCACCUCCAAGGCCCCAGAGCUGGGGCCGACCCCGGGCUGGCAGCAGUCAAGCCGGGAAAAUUCUUGUCCAUUUCUAGUGGCCGCUUCUCCAGAUCCUGCCUGUAAACACUAUUUAUUUUGGAAAGCAACGGCUCUGUUUCAA